UGGUGGGUAGUUUGACUGGGGCGGUCUCCUCCUAAAGAGUAACGGAGGAGCACGAAGGUUGGCUAAUCCUGGUCGGACAUCAGGAGGUUAGUGCAAUGGCAUAAGCCAGCUUGACUGCGAGCGUGACGGCGCGAGCAGGUGCGAAAGCAGGUCAUAGUGAUCCGGUGGUUCUGAAUGGAAGGGCCAUCGCUCAACGGAUAAAAGGUACUCCGGGGAUAACAGGCUGAUACCGCCCAAGAGUUCAUAUCGACGGCGGUGUUUGGCACCUCGAUGUCGGCUCAUCACAUCCUGGGGCUGAAGUAGGUCCCAAGGGUAUGGCUGUUCGCCAUUUAAAGUGGUACGCGAGCUGGGUUUAGAACGUCGUGAGACAGUUCGGUCCCUAUCUGCCGUGGGCGCUGGAGAAUUGAGGGGGGCUGCUCCUAGUACGAGAGGACCGGAGUGGACGCAUCACUGGUGUUCGGGUUGUCAUGCCAAUGGCACUGCCCGGUAGCUAAAUGCGGAAGAGAUAAGUGCUGAAAGCAUCUAAGCACGAAACUUGCCCCGAGAUGAGUU
rnacentral:rRNA from 1 species